AUUGAACGCUGGCGGCAUGCUUUACACAUGCAAGUCGAACGGCAGCACGGGAGCAAUCCUGGUGGCGAGUGGCGAACGGGUGAGUAAUACAUCGGAACGUGCCCAAUCGUGGGGGAUAACGCAGCGAAAGCUGUGCUAAUACCGCAUAAGAUCUACGGAUGAAAGCAGGGGACCGCAAGGCCUUGCGCGAAUGGAGCGGC
rnacentral:rRNA from 1 species